UACGUAGGGAGCAAGCGUUGUCCGGAAUCAUUGGGCGUAAAGAGCGUGUAGGCGGCUUGGCAAGUCUGACGUGAAAGCCCGCGGCUCAACCGCGGAUUGUCGUUGGAAACUGCCUCGCUAGAGUCCGGAAGAGGAGAGCGGAAUUCCUGGUGUAGCGGUGGAAUGCGCAGAUAUCAGGAAGAACACCCGUGGCGAAGGCGGCUCUCUGGGACGGUACUGACGGCUGAGACGCGAAAGCGUGGGGAGCGAACAGG
rnacentral:rRNA from 1 species